GGAAGUACGGCCGCAAGGCUAAAACUCAAAGGAAUUGACGGGGACUCGCACAAGCGGUGGAUCAUGUGGUUUAAUUCGAUAGUAAGCGAGGAACCUCACCAAGGCUUGACAUUCCGAGAAUUCUCCAGAAACGGAGAAGUGCCGCAAGGAACUCGGUAACAGGUGCUGCAUGGUUGUCGUCAGCUCGUGUCGUGAGAUGUACCGUUAAGUCGGGAAACGAGCGCAACCCUUGUCCUAUGUUACUUUUUUCAUAGGAAACUGCCCAGCCCUUUGUAUACAAAUUAUUUUGUAUUCAAAGGGCUGGGAGGAAGGUGGGGACGACGUCAAAUCAGCAUGGCCCUUAUGCCUUGGGCUACACACGUGAUACAAUGGCCAGUACAAAGGGUUGCCAAACCGUAAGGUGGAGCUAAUCCCAUCAAAACUGGUCCCAGUUCGGAUUGAGGGCUGCAACUCGCCCUCAUGAAGUUGGAAUCGCUAGUAACCGUAAAUCAGCCACGUUACGGUGAAUAUGUUCCUGGAUCUUGUACUCACCGCCCGUCAAGUCACGAAAGGUAGGGGUGCCCGAAGGAGUGUUAUCCCGCUUGCGGGAGCAUUACCACGGCAAAACUACUGAUUGGGACUAAGUCGUAACAAGGUA
rnacentral:rRNA from 1 species